AACGAACGCUGGCGGCAGGCCUAACACAUGCAAGUCGAGCGCCCCGCCAGGGGAGCGGCGGACGGGUGAGUACCGCGUGGGAACGGACCCUUUGCUACGGAAUAGCCUCGGGAAACGGGGAGGAAUACCGGAUGGGUCCUUCGGGAGAAAGAUUGAUCGGCAAGGGAUCGGCCCGCGUUGGAUUAGGUAGUUGGUGGGGUAAUGGCCUACCAAGCCGACGAUCCAUAGCUGGUUUGAGAGGAUGAUCAGGCACCCUGGGACUGAGACACGGCCCGGACUCCUCCGGGAGGCAGCAGUGGGGAAUCUUAGACACCGGGCGCAAGCAUGAGCUAGCCAUGCCGCGUGAGCGAUGAAGGCGUUAGGGUUGUAAAGCUCUUUCAGGGGGGAAGAUAAUGACUGUACCCCCAGAAGAAGCCCCGGCUAACUCCGUG
rnacentral:rRNA from 1 species